UCAGCAAUUCCAUACAGCCUGCUGCAUUUAUUGGUAUUAAAUAACGCCUCCAGGCUCUCCUUUACAGGCAGGGAGCCCGAGCCCUGCUGUAAGGACCUGCUUCAGGCCUCCAUCACUCCUCUCCCCUCCCCCAGGCAGCCAGGAAAGACAUUUAGUUGUCCACGAUGUGAGUUGCAGAAACCAGCCAAUGGUGUCUGAUAAAGACUCUCGUGCCAUUGCUGCCACAAGCAAGGAUGCAGCAACUGGGCAAUGUAUCAGGGAUCAUUAAUAGAAUAAAAAUGGGUUUGCCCUGGAGGAGAAUAAUUUGUUGGGCAUCUGCCCUGAGAGUGCUAAGAGCUAUUGGUCCCUUGGUAUGCCUGGUUAUUAUUAUCCCAGCUGCACUUUUCCCAGCGUGAAUUGCUGCUGGUGGCAGGAAGGAACAGCCUUGGAGUGAGAUGGUUCUUAUCCUGCCCCUUCCCACUCAGCUGUGACUGCACAAACCCUCCAGUGCCCACAGGAGCCUCCAGCCCUAUUUGCCCACAGCAGCUGUGCAGAGCUCCUCUUCAAGUUCCAAUUGAGAAGCCCCAGACCCAGCCAAUGGCAAAUUCCUGCUGGGUGGGGUCUGUGUUAGUGCUGAGGAACUGAUGGUCAGACUGAGCCAAGUUCAGCUGGUCCCUCUCUUUGCUGCUCAUCUCCUCCUAGUGUGCCCACCCAGAUUUAUUUCCCUGCUGCCUCCCUGGGCUGAAUAUGUUGGGUGAGUUUUUGCAGAGGAUUGUGAUGGAGAAAGAUACCUCCCCCCUGCAAAACUGUCCUCCCCUUGCUCCUGAGACUCCCUGUCUGCACCCAGGCUCAGAGCAAGCCUGUGGCUUAGGCUCCCCUGGCAGGAUCCAGCUCCUCUUGGGUGACAGUCCAGCCCUCACAUGACUGCUGUUUCUGCGAGGAUCUGGCUGCCUUCAGCCUGCCCCUGCCUCCAUCCCCUGCUCCUAGCAGGGCUGCAGGAUUUCGUGCGAGAGGAAGGAAGCGGCAGCAGGGGCUGCAAUGCCGGUGACACCAGAUAAAACCUAGCUCUGUGCCAUCUCCGUGCCUUGUAAAUAGCAUCAGCUCCGGGGAUUUCUUGACACUUUGCUGAAAUUAGCACCUGUAAAAAGAGCAGCUGCCAAAGCUGAAUUUAAAUAAGACGGGGAGAAUGCCGGUAGGAAGAGGGUGGAGAAUGAGAGAGCUCUUGAAUGGCUUCCCUCCAUGAAGGCACCUGCCUGGAAAUCAGCUCUCAUCUCCUCUGGCCCUGCUCAAAGCUCACAUUACAGCAGCAAGAUGCCCACAGCUGCCUCAAAGUGCUGGGCACUGUGCCUGCCCUGCCCGACACAGGCUGGGCCCCCAGUGCAGGUGCCCACUCCACUUGGUCUCCCAGCAAAGCCACCCCCAGUUCCCAAAAUGCCACUAAACACUCACUAAAACAAGCUGGAGAAGUACAGAACGUGGAUGCCCCUGGCCAACCAGCCCUGGCCUCCUCUUAAGCUUGAUUAGGUACCCCAAGUCCUGUGCAGCGUUAGGGAACGUUGCAAGCAGGCAGCAGCAACUAUGGAUUGCUUUUUUCCUUUUUAAUUGGGGUUAGCAGGUGGCACAUGCAGUUCAUUACAAAUGCAGAGGAAUGAAACAACUCUCGUGGCAGCUAAAAUGGGAAAUAUGGGGUUUGGGGAGGGGAGAUGCAAGCAGGUAAGGAAGGACUCUAAAGAGCUGUGACAGAUGAGGCUCAAAACCCCUCUGUUUGCACCUGGCAAUGAGGCACUAACAGAUAAGAGAGCUGGGGGCAGUGCUGGGGGGUGGAGGUGUAAUUCUGGCCCUCAGGGCUGGCACUGAGGGUGUUUCCCGUGUGGACAUGCCCAUUGCAUGAAUGGCUGUGAAGGCUGCAGAGACUGAGCACAGAGAGGACCAGACACCUUCCUUGUGGAGGAUGCACCAAAAAAAGGGGGAAAAAAAGGAGGGGGAAAAAAUCAAAUUAAAUGCUUCUCUUUAUUGUUCACUCAGCUCCUUAUUAAAGCAUUUUCCCCUAA